rnacentral:rRNA from 1 species
GGAGGAGGCAAGCGUUGUCCGGAAUCAUUGGGGCGUAAAGAGCGCGUAGGCUGUUUUUCAAGUCAUAUGUGAAAACCUCAGGGCUUAACUUGAGGACUGCAUAUGAAACUGGGAAACUUGAGUGCAGUAGGGGAAAGUGGAAUUCCUGGUGUAGCGGUGAAAUGCGCAGAUAUCAGGAAGAACACCGGUAGCGAAGGCGGCUUUCUGGGCUGCUACUGACGCUGAGGCGCGAAAGCUAGGGGAGCAAACAGGAUUAGAUACCCUGGUAGUCCUAGCUGUAAACGAUGGACACUAGGUGUGGGAAGUUAUCGACGCUUUCCGUGCCGGAGCUAACGCAUUAAGUGUCCCGCCUGGGGAGUACGGUCGCAAGACUA